rnacentral:rRNA from 1 species
AACGAACGCUGGCGGCAUGCCUAACACAUGCAAGUCGAACGAGACCUUCGGGUCUAGUGGCGCACGGGUGCGUAACGCGUGGGAACCUGCCCUUAGGUUCGGAAUAACUCCCCGAAAGGGGUGCUAAUACCGGAUAAUGUCUUCGGACCAAAGAUUUAUCGCCUUUGGAUGGGCCCGCGUUGGAUUAGCUAGUUGGUAGGGUAAAAGCCUACCAAGGCGACGAUCCAUAGCUGGUCUGAGAGGAUGAUCAGCCACACUGGGACUGAGACACGGCCCAGACUCCUACGGGAGGCAGCAGUGGGGAAUAUUGGACAAUGGGCGAAAGCAUGAUCCAGCAAUGCGGCGUGAGUGAUGAAGGCCUUAGGGUCGUAAAGCACUGUUACCAGGGAUGAUAAUGACAGUACCGGGAGAAUAAGCUCCGGCUAACUCCGUG